AUUUAUUUAGUAUAAUUAAUAGUACUUAUGACUUCCAAUCAUAAAGUUUGUUCUUCAAAAUAAAUA
rnacentral:tRNA from 1 species